GAUGAACGCUGGCGGCGUGCCUAAUACAUGCCAGUCGAGCGAACAGAUGAGGAGCUUGCUCCUCUGACGUUAGCGGCGGACGGGUGAGUAACACGUGGAUAACCUACCUAUAAGACUGGGAUAACUUCGGGAAACCGGAGCUAAUACCGGAUAAUAUAUUGAACCGCAUGGUUCAAUAGUGAAAGACGGUUUUGCUGUCACUUAUAGAUGGAUCCGCGCCGCAUUAGCUAGUUGGUAAGGUAACGGCUUACCAAGGCAACGAUGCGUAGCCGACCUGAGAGGGUGAUCGGCCACACUGGAACUGAGACACGGUCCAGACUCCUACGGGAGGCAGCAGUAGGGAAUCUUCCGCAAUGGGCGAAAGCCUGACGGAGCAACGCCGCGUGAGUGAUGAAGGUCUUCGGAUCGUAAAACUCUGUUAUUAGGGAAGAACAAAUGUGUAAGUAACUAUGCACGUCUUGACGGUACCUAAUCAGAAAGCCACGGCUAACUACGUA
rnacentral:rRNA from 1 species